UGUUGGACAAUUCCCAGCUCUUGGUGUCACCCCACGUUGGAUGAUUCCCGGCUCCGGUGUCCCCAGUGUUGGACAAUUCCCAGCUCUUGGUGUCACCCCACGUUGGAUGAUUCCCGGCUCCGGUGUCCCCAGUGUUGGACAAUUCCCAGCUCUUGGUGUCACCCCACGUUGGAUGAUUCCCGGCUCCGGUGUCCCCAGUGUUGGACAAUUCCCAGCUCUUGGUGUCACCCCACGUUGGAUGAUUCCCGGCUCCGGUGUCCCCAGUGUUGGACAAUUCCCAGCUCUUGGUGUCACCCCACGUUGGAUGAUUCCCGGCUCCGGUGUCCCCAGUGUUGGACAAUUCCCAGCUCUUGGUGUCACCCCACGUUGGAUGAUUCCCGGCUCCGGUGUCCCCAGUGUUGGACAAUUCCCAGCUCUUGGUGUCACCCCACGUUGGAUGAUUCCCGGCUCCGGUGUCCCCAGUGUUGGACAAUUCCCAGCUCUUGGUGUCACCCCACGUUGGAUGAUUCCCGGCUCCGGUGUCCUCAGUGUUGGACAAUUCCCAGCUCUUGGUGUCACCCCACGUUGGAUGAUUCCCGGCUCCGGUGUCCCCAGUGUUGGACAAUUCCCGGCUCCUGGUGUCACCUCAGUUCAGACGAUUCCCGGCUCCAAUGUCCCCAGAGUUGGACAAUCCACAGCUCUUGAUGUCACCCCAGGUUGGAUGUUUCCCAGCUCCGGUGUCACCCCAGGUCAGACAUUUUCCAGCUCCAAUGUCCCCAACAUCAGACUUUUCUCAGCUCCGAUGUCACCCC
rnacentral:lncRNA from 1 species